rnacentral:rRNA from 1 species
AACGAACGCUGGCGGCAUGCUUAACACAUGCAAGUCGAACGAGACCUUCGGGCCUAGUGGCGCACGGGUGCUUGACGCGUGGUAACUUGCCCUUAGGUUCCGUAUAACUCCCUGUAAGGGGUCUUAAUACCGGUUAAUGUCUUCCGACCUACGAUCUAUUGCCUUUGGAUGGGCCCGCGUUGGAUUAGCUAGUUGGUAGGGUAAAAGCAUAUCAUGGCGACGAUGCAUAGCUGGUCUGAGAGGAUGAUCAGCCAGACUGGGACUGAGACACGGCCCAGACUCGUACGGAGGGCAGCAGUGGGGAGUAUUGGACAAUGGGCGAAGGCCUGAUCCAGCAGUGCCGCGUGAGUGAUGAAGGCCUUAGGGUUGUAAAUCUCUUUUACCCGGGAUGAUAAUGACAGUACCGGGAGAAUAAGCACCGGCUAACUCCGUG